rnacentral:rRNA from 1 species
GGCGAUGUUUGAUCAUGGCUCAGGACGAACGCUGGCGGCGUGCUUAACACAUGCAAGUCGAGCGGAAAGGCCCUUCGGGGUACUCGAGCGGCGAACGGGUGAGUAACACGUGAGUAAUCUGCCUCUAGCUCUGGGAUAGCUCCGGGAAACCGGGAUUAAUACCGGAUACGACCACCUUAGACAUCUUUUGUGGUGGAAAGAAUUUCGGCUAGGGAUGAGCUCGCGGCCUAUCAGCUUGUUGGUGGGGUAACGGCCUACCAAGGCGACGACGGGUAGCCGGCCUGAGAGGGCGACCGGCCACACUGGGACUGAGACACGGCCCAGACUCCUACGGGAGGCAGCAGUGGGGAAUCUUGCACAAUGGGCGAAAGCCUGAUGCAGCGACGCCGCGUGCGGGAUGACGGCCUUCGGGUUGUAAACCGCUUUCAGCAGGGACGAUAGUGACGGUACCUGCAGAAGAAGCCCCGGCCAACUACGUGCCAGCAGCCGCGGUAAUA